rnacentral:rRNA from 1 species
AGUGAACGCUGGCGGCAGGCCUAACACAUGCAAGUCGAACGGCAGCACAGUAAUUGCUUGCGGUUACAGCGGCGGAGGGGCGGGCGGUGCCGGAAAACAUCCGAGGCAGUGUUUUCGUGGGGCCGAAAGCGGGCGAUAUUACCCCAUAACCCCUGAGGACCUACGGGGGAAAGCAGCGGAUCUCAGGCCAUUAGAUGAUUGAAGGUCCCGAUGUCGGAUUAGCUAGUUGGCGGGGUAAAGGCCUACCAAGGCGACGAUCCGUAGCUGGUCUGAGAGGAUGAUCAGCCACACUGGAACUGAGACACGGUCCAGACUCCUACGGGAGGCAGCAGUGGGGAAUAUUGGACAAUGGGCGCAAGCCUGAUCCAGCCAUACCGCGUGGGUGAAGAAGGUCUUCGGGUUGUAAAGCCCUUUUGGUGGGAAAGAAAAGCAGCAGGUUAAUACCCCGCUGUUCUGACGGUACCCAAAGAAUAAGCACCGGCUAACUUCGUG